UGUGUCAGAAAUUCACACAUCUAACGAGAAAGAACAGGUUCGUUUACAUGACACACACCAACUUACCCACUCAAACCCUAUCUAUUUAAUCAACCUUAUCUCUUCCCCUUAUUCAUCUCCACAAAAUUCAAAACCCUAGCCCCCAUUUAGUUUUCCCUCAACACACACAAUCUGGACAUCUAGAGAAAGCUUGAGAGUUGAAAGAAAGAGAGAGAGGCAAGAUGCAGUGAUGACGUCCGGCCGGCCACCUGGUCACGACGGCGCUGCGGUUGUGGUUUUCCGGUGAUGUUUUAGUGGCAGAAGGGUUGUGUGGGUGCGACCGGGGUUUAAGGUGACAACGGGAUGGGUGGUAAGGAGCAGGGGAGGCAACUGUGUGGUACUCAGCGGCUCGCGGAGGAGCGACGGCGGCGGUGCCGCCAAACUCGAGGGGAUGCACGACCACUGCAGUGGCGGUAUUUGGUGCGGUGGUGGAUUGAAAACCGAUUUGAUAUCUAAACGCACAAGGUUGGACACCGAUUUGAAGAAACCCUAACCUAAUUGCAGUUUGGAGACAAGGAGGCAUGUUUCAAGGAUGACUAUUACUCCAAGGAGGAGUUAAAUACAUCAUCUAUCUGGUGGGUUAAUUACACUUCAUUUAUGUUUAGUUUCUGUAAUAUUCUAAUGAUACGUGGCUUAUGAUGACAUUAUCAUUGCAGUUCUUUAAAACACUUUCUUGUCAUCAUAGAUGCAAUGUGAUAAUUCUUAUUUCUUGACCAGGUGAAGGUGUCCACUGAAUUUGAAUAUGUAGGAGGUGUGGAACUUGCAAUUCCAAGUAGAAAAGUUAAAUAAAUGAUUCAAAGAGGCGCAACAAGCUCACACGGAAGUGUUGCAAAACCGAGUCGAAGAGCUGCAACACAAAUGAGAGAAGAUAUGAAACGACAAAUAAUCGAGUUGAUGAAGCAGUUUGGUAAUCCUAGCAAUCCUCCACCAUAGUUUAGUUUUGUUUGUUGUCUUUUGCGGUUGAACUUGUAAUUUAAUAACCGUGGCAUAUUUUGUUGUUGAACCUACAAUUUGACAACCGUUUUGUAUUUUGUGUAUGAACUUUCAGUUCUAUAAUCGUGUCGCAUUUAGGAUUUU